GACGAACGCUGGCGGCGUGCUUAACACAUGCAAGUCGAACGGAAAGGCCCUGCUUUUGUGGGGUGCUCGAGUGGCGAACGGGUGAGUAACACGUGAGUAACCUGCCCUUGACUUUGGGAUAACUUCAGGAAACUGGGGCUAAUACCGGAUAGGAGCUCCUGCUGCAUGGUGGGGGUUGGAAAGUUUCGGCGGUUGGGGAUGGACUCGCGGCUUAUCAGCUUGUUGGUGGGGUAGUGGCUUACCAAGGCUUUGACGGGUAGCCGGCCUGAGGGGGUGACCGGGCCAAUGGGGGACGGGAAACGGCCCAGGCCCCAGAGGGGGGGAGGAGGGGGGAAUUUUGCAAAAUGGGGGGAAGGCUGAAGCAGCAACCCCGCGGGGGGGAAGACGGCCUUCGGGUUGUAAACCGUCUUCCCCUGGGAAGAAGGGGGGGGGAGGGGAAUGGGUAAAGAAGGCCCGGCUAACUACGGG
rnacentral:rRNA from 1 species